UGUAAUAAAAAAGUAAUGCAUGGAGCCGAAUAAUACCUUUUACUGGUCAUAUUCCAUCUUUCUCCUUGUGCAGUUUUCAAUGGAAAACUUAAAGAUUUUCAUCAUCCCUACACUUCAGCGAUCACUAUUUAAGCCUUUCAGUUUCAGGAGGAGACACUAUACAGACAGAAAAAUUAGAAUGCCCUCCUAUAAAGAUUCCAAUAAUGUGAAAAUGAACUAUAAAUUAGUGUCUAGAAAUAAUUGAACGAUUCUUGUCAAGUUUAUGUGAGGCGUAUAUUUACUUUUAUUUCUACAAACUUAUCUUGGCAUUAGCAUACUAUUUUUCCAAUGGUGCGUAACUUUCAGACAAUCUUAUCAUAAUAGCUGCUCAUCAAGAAAGGUCUCGUGUUUCCACUAGAUGACUCACACUUUGUUCUGGACUACUAUUAAAUCUUUACAACCAAUCUUAGAUUGGAAAUGGUGUGUGGAUUCUAUUGCCGUGAUUUGUGUCUUUUGUAUUUUACUUUGUUAUUUGAGGUGCAUAGGGGCAAACUCAUAAUUAUUGUUCAGAGGGGGGUGAGAAUUGAAAUUGCGGGGGCAAUUGGGGAAAGGGAAGUACGAUUAAGUGAAAAAUUGGAAUCAUGUAGGCUUAUUUUCUUCUCAAUGUCAAAAAGACUUACUUUGUUGGAUUUGGG
rnacentral:lncRNA from 1 species